CCUACGGGAGGCAGCAGUCAGGAAUAUUGGUCAAUGGGCGCUAGCCUGAACCAGCCAAGUAGCGUGAAGGAUGACUGCCCUAUGGGUUGUAAACUUCUUUUAUAUGGGAAUAAAGUGCAGUAUGUAUACUGCUUUGCAUGUACCUUAUGAAUAAGGUUCGGCUAACCACGUGCCAGCAGCCGCGGCAAUACGGAGGCUUCGAGCGUUAUCCGGAUUUAGUGGGUGUAAAGGGAGCGUAGGCGGGUUGGUAAGUCAGUUGUGAAAGUUUGCGGCUCAACCGUAAAAUUGCAGUUGAUACUGGCAUCCUUGAGUACAGGAGAGGUAGGCGGAAUUCGUGGUGUAGCGGUGAAAUGCUUAGAUAUCACGAAGAACUCUGAUUGCGAAGGCAGCCUGCUGGACUGUAACUGACGCUGAUGCUCGAAAGUGUGGGUAGCAAACAGGAUUAGAUACCCUUGUAGUC
rnacentral:rRNA from 1 species